AGUGAACGCUGGCGGUAGGCCUAACACAUGCGAGUCGAACGACAGCACAGUAAGAGCUUGCUCUUACGGGUGGCGAGUGGCGGACGGGUGAGGAAUACAUCGGAAUCUACUUUUUCGUGGGGGAUAACGUAGGGAAACUUACGCUAAUACCGCAUACGACCUACGGGUGAAAGCAGGGGAUCUUCGGACCUUGCGCGAUUGAAUGAGCCGAUGUCGGAUUAGCUAGUUGGCGGGGUAAAGGCCCACCAAGGCGACGAUCCGUAGCUGGUCUGAGAGGAUGAUCAGCCACACUGGAACUGAGACACGGUCCAGACUCCUACGGGAGGCAGCAGUGGGGAAUAUUGGACAAUGGGCGCAAGCCUGAUCCAGCCAUACCGCGUGGGUGAAGAAGGCCUUCGGGUUGUAAAGCCCUUUUGUUGGGAAAGAAAAGCAGCAGGUUAAUACCCCGCUGUUCUGACGGUACCCAAAGAAUAAGCACCGGCUAACUUCGUG
rnacentral:rRNA from 1 species